AUUGAACGCUGGCGGCAGGCCUAACACAUGCAAGUCGAACGAGUGGCGGACGGGUGAGUAAUGUCUGGGAAACUGCCCGAUGGAGGGGGAUAACUACUGGAAACGGUAGCUAAUAGCGCAUACCAUCGGAUGUGCCGAGAUGGGAUUAGCAAGUAGGUGGGGUAACGGCUCACCCAGGCGACGAUCCCUAGCUGGUCUGAGAGGAUGACCAGCCACACGGGAACAGAGACACGGUCCAGACUCCUACGGGAGACAGCAGUGGGGAAUAUUGCACGAUGGGCGCAAGCCUCAUGCAGCCAUGCCGCGUGUACGAAGAAGUCCUUCGGGUUGUAAAGUACUUUCAUCGAGGAGGCGUUACUCGUAGAAGAAGCACCGGCUAACUCCGUGCCAGCAGCCGCGGUAAUCC
rnacentral:rRNA from 1 species